rnacentral:rRNA from 1 species
UGGAUAACUGUGGUAAUUUAGAGCUAAUACAUGCACCAAAGCUCCAAUCCCCCCAGAGCGGAGCGCAUUUGUUCGCCACAAAACCAAGCGCCUUCGGGCGUCCAGUGUUGACUCAGAACAACUAAGCUGAUCAGAACGGUCUUGUACCGGCGACGUGUCUUUCAAGUGUCUGCCUUACCAACUUUCGAUGGUAGUGUACCUGACUACCAUGGUGAUGACGGGUAACGGAGGAUAAGGGUUCGACUCCGGAGAAGGGGCCUGAGAGAUGGCCACUACGUCUAAGGAUGGCAGCAGGCGCGCAAAUUACCCACUCUCAACAUGAGGAGGUAGUGACGAGAAAUAACGAGACCGAUCUCUUAUGAGGCCGGUCAUCGGAAUGGGUACAAUUUAAACCCUUUAACGAGUAUCUAUGAGAGGGCAAGUCUGGUGCCAGCAGCCGCGGUAAUUCCAGCUCUCAAAAUGCAUAGAAUUAUUGCUGCGGUUAAAAAGCUCGUAGUUGGAUCUGUGCUAGCCGGCCGGUCCACCCACUGGGUGUGCACUGGUUCGGU